rnacentral:rRNA from 1 species
AACGAACGCUGGCGGCAUGCCUAACACAUGCAAGUCGAACGAGACCCCUGACUUCGGUCGGCGGGUCUAGUGGCGCACGGGUGCGUAACGCGUGGGAAUCUGCCCUUGGGUUCGGAAUAACUCAGAGAAAUUUGAGCUAAUACCGGAUGAUGACGAAAGUCCAAAGAUUUAUCGCCCAGGGAUGAGCCCGCGUAAGAUUAGCUUGUUGGUGGGGUAAUGGCCUACCAAGGCGACGAUCUUUAGCUGGUCUGAGAGGAUGAUCAGCCACACUGGGACUGAGACACGGCCCAGACUCCUACGGGAGGCAGCAGUGGGGAAUAUUGGACAAUGGGCGCAAGCCUGAUCCAGCAAUGCCGCGUGAGUGAUGAAGGCCUUAGGGUUGUAAAGCUCUUUUACCAGGGAUGAUAAUGACAGUACCUGGAGAAUAAGCUCCGGCUAACUCCGUG